AACCCCACCCUCUAAUCCAUCUUCUCUCUAUUCUCUCCCCACGCUGCGCUGUCCCCACCAGUCGCCUAACCACAUCGCCCUUCAUCUAGAUACUUCGCUCAGUUCGAUCGCGCAACUCCUCUCCUUCGGUCAUUCAUGGCACACUCUAAAAGAGACUUUUGCAAGGAUGGAGCUGUUCGAUGCAAAUGUGAUGGGAUAGUGCAAUGACCCGACCCAUUAGCAACAAUAACUCGUUGGGCCCAAACCAUCGGCCCAAAAUGCUUAAGUCGGAUUAUUAUUACUAGCGUGGCCGAGGACGAGUUCGCAGGGCGAGGACCGCGGCAAGGGCACAACGCCCUAAGUAGUUAGUAGCUUCCUAUUUUGCAUUAGAGUACCCUCGUGUACUAGAGACAUGUGAUGUAUUUGGAAGCUCUUCAUGUAUUUUGAUAAUCAAAUUGUAUUUACAUUUUGGAAGAUGGAAAUAUAAUUAAAGAUUAAUGUUGAA